rnacentral:rRNA from 1 species
CAUAGGUUAAUGAGGCGAACCGGGGGAACUGAAACAUCUAAGUACCCCGAGGAAAAGAAAUCAACCGAGAUUCCCCCAGUAGCGGCGAGCGAACGGGGAGGAGCCCAGAGCCUGAAUCAGUGUGUGUGUUAGUGGAAGCGUCUGGAAAGGCGCGCGAUACAGGGUGACAGCCCCGUACACAAAAAUGCACAUAUUGUGAGCUCGAUGAGUAGGGCGGGACACGUGGUAUCCUGUCUGAAUAUGGGGGGACCAUCCUCCAAGGCUAAAUACUCCUGACUGACCGAUAGUGAACCAGUACCGUGAGGGAAAGGCGAAAAGAACCCCGGCGAGGGGAGUGAAAAAGAACCUGAAACCGUGUACGUACAAGCAGUGGGAGCCUCUUUAUGGGGUGACUGCGUACCUUUUGUAUAAUGGGUCAGCGACUUAUAUUCUGUAGCAAGGUUAACCGAAUAGGGGAGCCGAAGGGAAACCGAGUCUUAACUGGGCGUUAAGUUGCAGGGUAUAGACCCGAAACCCGGUGAUCUAGCCAUGGGCAGGUUGAAGGUUGGGUAACACUAACUGGAGGACCGAACCGACUAAUGUUGAAAAAUUAGCGGAUGACUUGUGGCUGGGGGUGAAAGGCCAAUCAAACCGGGAGAUAGCUGGUUCUCCCCGAAAGCUAUUUAGGUAGCGCCUCGUGAAUUCAUCUCCGGGGGUAGAGCACUGUUUCGGCAAGGGGGUCAUCCCGACUUACCAACCCGAUGCAAACUGCGAAUACCGGAGAAUGUUAUCACGGGAGACACACGGCGGGUGCUAACGUCCGUCGUGAAGAGGGAAACAACCCAGACCGCCAGCUAAGGUCCCAAAGUCAUGGUUAAGUGGGAAACGAUGUGGGAAGGCCCAGACAGCCAGGAUGUUGGCUUAGAAGCAGCCAUCAUUUAAAGAAAGCGUAAUAGCUCACUGGUCGAGUCGGCCUGCGCGGAAGAUGUAACGGGGCUAAACCAUGCACCGAAGCUGCGGCAGCGACACUAUGUGUUGUUGGGUAGGGGAGCGUUCUGUAAGCCUGUGAAGGUGGCCUGUGAGGGUUGCUGGAGGUAUCAGAAGUGCGAAUGCUGACAUAAGUAACGAUAAAGCGGGUGAAAAGCCCGCUCGCCGGAAGACCAAGGGUUCCUGUCCAACGUUAAUCGGGGCAGGGUGAGUCGACCCCUAAGGCGAGGCCGAAAGGCGUAGUCGAUGGGAAACAGGUUAAUAUUCCUGUACUUGGUGUUACUGCGAAGGGGGGACGGAGAAGGCUAUGUUGGCCGGGCGACGGUUGUCCCGGUUUAAGCGUGUAGGCUGGUUUUCCAGGCAAAUCCGGAAAACCAAGGCUGA